rnacentral:rRNA from 1 species
AGAGUUUGAUCCUGGCUCAGAACGAACGUUGGCGGCGUGGAUUAGGCAUGCAAGUCGAACGAGAAAGGUUUCGCAAGAGACCGAGUAAAGUGGCGGAAGGGCGAGUAAUGCAUAGAUAACCUACCCUCGAGAUGGGAAUAACUAUUCGAAAGGAUAGCUAAUACCCAAUAAGACCACGGGUCACAUGGCCUGUGCUUAAAGAUGGGGACCCGCAAGGGCCUUUCGCUCGGGGAGGGGUUUAUGUCCUAUCAGCUAGUUGGUGAGGUAAAGGCUUACCAAGGCUUUGACGGGUAGCCGACCUGAGAGGGUGACCGGCCGCACUGGGACUGAGACACUGCCCAGACUCCUACGGGAGGCUGCAGUCGAGGAUCUUCCGCAAUGCGCGAAAGCGUGACGGAGCGACGCCGCGUGGGUGAUGAAGGCCUUCGGGUUGUAAAGCCCUGUCGCCUGGGAAGAAUGGCGGGAGGUGAAUAACCAUCUCGCUUGACGCUACCAGGGGAGGAAGCACCGGCUAAAUACGUGCCAGCAGCCGCGGUAAUACGUAUGGUGCGAACGUUGUUCGGAAUCACUGGGCAUAAAGAGCACGUAGGCGGUCGAGUCAGUCCAUUGUGAAAUCCCCCGGCUUAACCGGGGAACUGCAGUGGAUACUGCUUGACUUGAGUACAGGAGGGGAGAGUGGAAUUCCUGGUGGAGCGGUGAAAUGCGUAGAUAUCAGGAGGAACGCCGGCGGCGAAAGCGACUCUCUGGUCUGUUACUGACGCUGAGGUGCGAAAGCUAGGGGAGCAAACGGGAUUAGAUACCCCGGUAGUCCUAGCCCUAAACGAUGGGCACUAAGUAGGGGGAAUCCUAUAUUCUCUCUGCCGGAGCUAAUGCAUUAAGUGCCCCGCCUGGGGAGUAUGGUCGCAAGGCUAAAACUCAAA